CUAGAGGUAAUUUAUAAGAAUAUUUUACUUACAAUAAAAAUGUGCCAUCUGGCUCUCUUGA
rnacentral:tRNA from 1 species